rnacentral:rRNA from 1 species
CGCACCGCCCGUCACACCAUGGGAGUUUGUUGCACCAGAAGCAGGUAGCCUAACCGCAAGGGGGGCGCUUGCCACGGUGUGGCCGAUGACUGGGGUG